rnacentral:lncRNA from 1 species
UGAUGAACUUUCAUAUCUAGAUAGUGAUUCUCUUUAUUUCCUUUCUCUUACAGAAGACAUAUUUUCAUUUUGGAAAAAUUCUCUUUAGCAACACUACUAUUUUCCUAAAGUUUAGUGGCAAUGAAAGCGCCUGUGAUCCUUCUCAAAGUUACAUUGUACGCUGGUACUUAAGAUACUCCUAUUGCUACAAUGAAGUCUUCAAUUUUGGGGAUGAACAGGCUAAUAUAUAUUUUCAAAGCAUUUCAGAACAACAUCCAGGUUGGGCAGGAUACUACGCUAUGUCUGAACUCUCCUUCCCCAAUUGCAGUGAGCUCCUCAAGCCACAGGUAUAAUAUGGGAAGAGUGCAGAGCCUAUGGGUGGGUUUAUUGAGAAGUGCAUUGUUAGUUAAAUCUUAAUUCAGAUGAAUCAAGGCU